rnacentral:lncRNA from 10 species
CCCUGAGUAGUGUCUAUAAAUUAUUGAUGAAACCAGAAUCUCUGGUUAUGGGGCCUAAGUGUGGAUUUUUAGGUUUUUGUUUUCAUUAACCUUUAAGCAAUGAAAUUAUAAAUCCCUAUGCAAAUGUUUAAGGUUAUCAUUGCCUAUCACCCCUUUUGAUUCCUACAGACUGUUAAUUCUUCUCUGUCCUGCUGAGUCUUAUUAAAACUUCUGACUGAUGUACUUUUAUUAAAAGGUUUAGAAUUUACCAAUUUAAAACACUUGCUUUACACUAUUACCUCUAAUUUAACUAGGCCCAUUAAACUGCAUUUUGCAAAGGGAAGAAGUCAAUUGCUGUUUCUUUAAAAAAUAAUAAAUUGAAAUGAAUUUUAAACUC